rnacentral:rRNA from 1 species
GACGAACGCUGGCGGCGUGCCUAAUACAUGCAAGUAGAACGCACAGUUUAUACCGUAGCUUGCUACACCAUACACUGUGAGUUGCGAACGGGUGAGUAACGCGUAGGUAACCUGCCUGGUAGCGGGGGAUAACUAUUGGAAACGAUAGCUAAUACCGCAUAAUAUUGAUUAUUGCAUGAUAAUUGAUUGAAAGAUGCUAUUGCAUCACUACCAGAUGGACCUGCGUUGUAUUAGCUAGUAGGUGAGGUAACGGCUCACCUAGGCGACGAUACAUAGCCGACCGGAGAGGGUGAUCGGCCACACUGGGACUGAGACACGGCCCAGACUCCUACGGGAGGCAGCAGUAGGGAAUCUUCGGCAAUGGACGAAAGUCUGACCGAGCAACGCCGCGUGAGUGAAGAAGGUUUUCGGAUCGUAAAGCUCUGUUGUAAGAGAAGAACGGGUGUGAGAGUGGAAAGUUCACACUGUGACGGUAUCUUACCAGAAAGGGACGGCUAACUACGUG